GUUUUGGAGACUCCUAAAUAUGAAAAGAAAUAUUUACGUUCAUGAAAUCCGUCAAAAAGAUGAGACAGAACCAGUGGAAAGGCUGAGGAGGGCAGGACAUCACAGUGACCCUCAAAAGCACAGAGAUGAGGGAGCAGGGUUGUGGGUGGAACUGUCAGAAGCUGGACUCUUGCAGCACAUCCAAGGAGAACACACUGACUUCACUCCCAGAGCUGACCUGCCUAGUCCAGAGGGCCUCCUCUAAAAUACUCUUCAGAAAUCUGUGACUACAGCCGGGCAUGGUGGCGCACGCCUUGAAUCCCAGCACUUGGGAGGCAGA